UUGACCUCGGAUCAGGUAGGGAUACCCGCUGAACUUAAGCAUAUCAAUAAGCGGAGGAAAAGAAACCAACAGGGAUUGCCCUAGUAACGGCGAGUGAAGCGGCAACAGCUCAAAUUUGAAAUCUGGCUCUUUUAGAGUCCGAGUUGUAAUUUGCAGAGGGCGCUUUGGCUUUGGCAGCGGUCCAAGUUCCUUGGAACAGGACGUCACAGAGGGUGAGAAUCCCGUACGUGGUCGCUGGCUAUUGCCGUGUAAAGCCCCUUCGACGAGUCGAGUUGUUUGGGAAUGCAGCUCUAAAUGGGAGGUACAUUUCUUCUAAAGCUAAAUAUUGGCCAGAGACCGAUAGCGCACAAGUAGAGUGAUCGAAAGAUGAAAAGCACUUUGGAAAGAGAGUCAAACAGCACGUGAAAUUGUUGAAAGGGAAGCGCUUGCAGCCAGACUUGCUUGCAGUUGCUCAUCCGGGCUUUUGCCCGGUGCACUCUUCUGUAGGCAGGCCAGCAUCAGUUUGGGCGGUAGGAUAAAGGUCUCUGUCACGUACCUCUCUUCGGGGAGGCCUUAUAGGGGAGACGACAUACUACCAGCCUG
rnacentral:rRNA from 1 species